CCUCCGUGGCCCGGAGUUGCGUCUUGCCGGGCGUGGGGCUGUCUCUCUGGUUGGGUAGUGGGGAGAGGGGUUCCCGAAGGCACUCUUGGGAGUGUAUGGAUGACGUGUCAGGUCACCAAAUGGAUUGUCGAAGGGACCGGAGGGAAGAGGGGAGAGCUGGAAUUUCUGAGGGUUUCGGUUGCAGUUUUCAGUGAUCUUUGCUCGUCUCCCUUCCCUGUAAAGCUACAUAUGCUCAGCAAGUGCCGCGUGCCUCCCAUCCUUGGUCGGUGGUAAAUGCAGGAGGUAAUUAACAGGAUCUUCACAAACUUGGAGCCAGCCCACUGAGUCGUUAAAAAAACACCCGCAAAGAAAACACACGAGCCUUAACACUCCAGAGAGUUCCGAAACACAAAGUAAAUUUCGAGCUAAGGGUUACAGUCCUUUAAAUCUGGAAAUUUCAAGUAUCCCUCGGGAUCGUGUCCCUGGGAGGCGGAUAGGAUUCAGCACUCUAGAAUUGUCUCACCAUUUGAAUAGGUGCUGCUCAGCCCUUUUGAGUCUGUCAUCGGAAAGACCAUGGCUUUCUCGCUUUUCAUCUUUUUGGAUGGCUGCUUGUCGCAAUAUUGUCUUCUUCGCUUUAGACAAGACCAGCUGGCAUGCUGCCUUCUGAUCCUUUCAGCUGCAGAAAAGACAGGCUUACCUUGGAGAUAUUGCAAGUUUGGUUCCCGGCCACUGCAAUAAAUGUCUUACUAUGUUGACCGUGCUGGACUCGAAUUCCUGGGCUCAAGCAAUCCUUCUGCCUCAACCUUCUGAUUAUUUCGACUACGGGUGUGCGCCACCAUGCCUGGCUUAGAAAAGGACUUUAUGUUGAACCUCUUUUCUCUUACAAUCAAAUAAUAAAUUCAUUGAGUCAUACUA
ensembl:lncRNA ST7-OT4 ST7 overlapping transcript 4